rnacentral:rRNA from 1 species
GACGAACGCUGGCGGCGUGCUUAACACAUGCCAGUCGAACGGAAAGGCCCUGCUUUUGUGGGGUGCUCGAGUGGCGAACGGGUGAGUAACACGUGAGUAACCUGCCCUUGACUUUGGGAUAACUUCAGGAAACUGGGGCUAAUACCGGAUAGGAGCUCCUGCUGCAUGGUGGGGGUUGGAAAGUUUCGGCGGUUGGGGAUGGACUCGCGGCUUAUCAGCUUGUUGGUGGGGUAGUGGCUUACCAAGGCUUUGACGGGUAGCCGGCCUGAGAGGGUGACCGGCCACAUUGGGACUGAGAUACGGCCCAGACUCCUACGGGAGGCAGCAGUGGGGAAUAUUGCACAAUGGGCGGAAGCCUGAUGCAGCAACGCCGCGUGCGGGAUGACGGCCUUUGGGUUGUAAACCGCCUUCGCCUGUGACGAAGCGUGAGUGACGGUAAUGGGUAAAGAAGCACCGGCUAACUACGUG